rnacentral:lncRNA from 1 species
UCACCGGUAGCCAUGAACCCGCUAUCAUGUUGGACUUCACCGUGAGAAGGGACGGCUACAAUCCUAUUUGUUGGUACUUGUGCCUCUCUCUCCCUGCAAGUCCUGAGGAAUGGACGGGGGCUUGGAUUCUCGGCUAUAAGAAUAAAUCCGGGAUUAUAUGCUAGACAAAAUGAAGAUUUUGGAGAUUCUAAUCUUUGUGCUUGCAAAGAUAUUGUCAGGUAUAUAAAACCUGUCCUCUCCGAAGUUCCACAGACCACUCCUUCCAGUAAGGCGGGAGAUUUGAGCCUGGCGGCCAUCAUUGGUAUAGUGCUGGGAGUCGGACUCACCUGCUUCGCCGGAACCAUGGCAAUGAUCUUAAUGAUAUUGAAGUCCCUCACCCGAGAACAAGCAGGAGAGUCGACGCAAAACCAAACGCAGCUACAGGAACGGCGGGCAGCAGAGCGGGAAAAUCCAAGGGCGGGCUGCGGACUUUGACAGUCUAUUUGAUCCAGGAGUGCUUGCAAAAGAAUUAAGUGUUAAUUUAAUACCUUGCAUGGGUGUUAUAAGACACCGAGGGUGUUCAAUUAACACCGAGUUAACCGAUCACAGUUUUUCAGUAAACCAUCUCAUAUCUUUCCCAGGUUAACACCAAGGCAGAGAGGCUUGUCUACAUGUAGCUCUGGCUACCUAUGCUAAGCUGAAAGUGGGCUGGACACAUAACAAGGAUCAUCAAAUUUUGCCCACUCUUCUUUUGUGGCUUAGAUUAAAUUUUCAAAAGAUACGAUCUUUCUAAGCCCAAUUACACAUGUACAUGUUAAAAAUAAUAAUGGUUUGCGCAUUAUCUUUUCAUUUCAUUCCUUUCAUGCAGUUUGUAUUAACCCUAAAAGAUUAAGAGCCGGCUUAUUUUGGGCCAUCUCACAGCCAGGGGAGGGGCGGAUAUAUAAACUGUCUCACGGUUAAUUAAGCACUGCGUCUCGUGUAAAAUAAGGAAAUCUUUGAAAAGUGUUUGGGACUGCAACCAUAUUUUAGCGUGUGAUAAGCACCCAAAUGGUUUUAUAAUCAUAUGUUUUAAGUAUUAUCUUCGAAACGUUUUUAUUUAACAAGUGUGCAUGAGGCAUUUUAAAUAUUAUUUGGAAUUGAUGAAUCAUCUCUUAAAUGCUCAAAAGGGGGUUUUCUGUGAAAUCUUCUAUUUAAAAGUCACACACACGUCUUUGCAUGUUGUAGGUACACUGUUUCUCUUAAAUUUAUGUCACGUGUAUAUGAAAUAUGUUCAUCUUCUUUGAAAAGGUUUAUUUUUUCUUCCUUUUGGUUCUUCACAUUUCUUUAAAGUUAAAAAAGCAAAGAGGUAUAUUUCCGAGGAAACAAAGAAGCUUAGCCUUGUGUCGAGAUUGAAUUUUAUAAAUUCCCUACCGUGUCAUUCCUUCCUGUGCAGCUUUUUUAACACUGUCGUUAGGGCGCACAUCUAUCUCUUGUCCAGGGCAAUCGACCGCGACCUGUGCCAUGGCGGUGCUGUGCUCGAUUUUGACGGCCGUGUUGUGUGCAUUGUUGCACCCCAGGUCACGGAACACGCCUUUUCCUUUUACGUGGUGGGAAAUUUAUCUCAAAUACAACCUUAGAAACUAUAAUUUUCAUUCGGUGGCAGGUAAAUGCCUCAGUGGAUAAUGCUGCUUUCAAAUGUGGUAGUCGGUUUCUCUCUUAAACUUGAAUCCGCUUGUGCUGAAUGUUUUCUGUUUCGCACUCUGCUCCCUUUCUGUUAAAUCCAAUUAACUCAGUGGAAUGUGAGUCUUUACCGCUACUUGAGGUGGAAUAGGGAGCUAUAACUCCACAAAGGGAGUCAUUUUUCUGCCAAUUUUCUUAGUUGUAUAAAAUAUCACAGGAUUUAAUGUGAUAAAAUGUGAUGCCUGAAAGGGACAAAGCUCUCCUCCCAGAUGUCGCCUCACAAUUCCAGUCGGCUAAACUGCGUUUAGAAUUUGAAUUUUGUUCACUAAAGAUAAUGGAUAAAAGGCCGGAACAACGUGGGUACACUGCAGUUGGAUCUUUGCCUUUUUUUCUUACUAGUGGAAGGCAAGACGUGAACUUUGUGCUAAAGUUUAAAAUUGUGCGAUCAGUGAGUUGAUUUCCCAAUUUCUGGAAAAGGCGUUUGACCUGCCCACUUCCGUGCCCCUGCAGCUAAGGCCUUCGUAGGCCUUUUGCGGGCAAGCUGUCUUCAGAGAAUAAGUAACAGUUGCGUUCACAGCUCUUUCAGCUUCACUUCAUUGAAAAUCAAACCACAACAAAGCGUUGCUAGAACAACUUAAUAAAUAUCGACCAGGAUGUCUGAUGAUUUCACUUACAGCAUCCGGAGUGCUUACUUUCCUACUAAUUCAUUCACUCUACAUCUUCUUAUGUUAAACAAAUUACGAAAGAACAUACAGGGAAUGUCGUGGAAGGAAAAAACCCUAAAACUGUCGUCAAAAAGAUGAGUUCAAAUCUAUUCUUAAACUCAUCUAGAGAAAGAAAAGCGGAAUUCCCAUUUAUUAAAUCACCUUUACUCAACCAAUGUUUAUAAAAAAAAAUACAUGUGCCAUUAAUCUUAAUUUUAUCCCUGAACCAAGGAGAACUCCUCAAUACCUCCGGUUUCUUUGUAGGCAAAUGGGCCUGAGUAAAGUUAGACCAUGCUGUAAACAAAUCGAACCAGAAGGCAUUACAAACUCUCCAGGCACCAAUCGAUUGAAUUGAACCAUGCAUCUGCCAAGAAGGACAAUCGGGAGAUAUCAAAAAUACAGUUGCACAAAGUAGACCAACCUGAAGGCUGAGCUUUUAAAAGUCUACGUAACCAGGACAUCUUAACUUCGUGGGGGUGGUGGAUUUGGAAGCCAGUUGGCCAUGAACUCUCUGUAGCUCCUGGCUCAAUUUGGCGGUGUACGGUGACGGAAUCGUCGAGGUGGCGGCACAGAGCACCAUAGCGCAUUUUAACUACACCUCAACGGAUAUUGAAAUUUGUGCGCGCGAGCUUUGCUGCCUGGGAAAACCUGAAGAAAUUCGCUGUUAGGAUCGUGUGCUAAUUCAUCGAGUGGAUACCUUGAGUGUGAACUAAAAAGGCGAGCUUUGACAUAUUUGCCGUCAGGAUGAAGGCGGGAUUUCUGAUCUUGGUCCUCACUGGAGCUCUGGUAGCUGGACAAUCCACGACCCCCGAAGCUUCAACCAGCUCUAUGACAGAUUCAACGACCACUUCAGAUGAAACAUCUACCGAUAUAACAUCCGCUGAUACGACACAGGCAUCAGAUUCAACGACCACUUCAGAUGAAACAUCUACCGAUAUAACAUCCGCUGAUACGACACAGGCAUCAG